rnacentral:lncRNA from 1 species
GAAAGCUUGUUGGCUAGCCAGCCUUGACACAAUGGUCAAAUUUGGUUCAGGUUGAGAUCUUAUCUCAAGACAAUGUGGAGAGUGAUAGAUGCAGACUCCAGAAGUCCAGCCUUCUCUGUCUCCAAACCUGCAUGUGUGUAAACCUGUACAUUUAUAUAAUGUAACAUACAUGCACUCACACACACACACACACACACACACACACACACUCACACAUAUACACACACAAUUUAUAUUCCUACUUUCCUGUGUAUUAAAAGAGAAUAGAAAAAAACCAACAUCAUUGAAUUUGAAUAUUUAUUUUAUUUUCAUAGUCCCAGAUUGUUAUUUCUAAUAUCACUUCCAGUUUUUUGAUAAGUAGACAGAAUCAAAGAGAAGUAAUAUGCUGUGGCUCACAUAAGUAAUACCUGUCGCUUGUGCUCCACAUGCAACCGCAGCUGAAUGUCUACCCUUCCUUCCCAGGACAGGAAGCCCUGCCCAUUCAGCCAGAGCGCUAUCCACGUGAUGCAGUGCCUUUGUUAUCACACAUUGCUCUUCCAGCAUCAUGUCAUAUGGACAUAUUCUUUUUAUUUCAAAUUUGACUUAUCUGGCUUGAUACAGUAUCUUUGCAUUGAGAUGAAAGGGUAUUUUCUUAUUGAAAUUUUAAUUAGGUUUUACUUUUCAGAAUUCACAUUCUAAAAUACCUCAUUUUUCUAAAUCAACUGUUGUUAGUUUUUUCUAACAUUCUUUACUCAAUGCAAUUUGUACCUGCCAUGUUGCAUUCUAUCAUAUAUAUGUAUAUGUACCAUAUAUAUGUAUAUAUAUUCAUUCACAAAAUCUUAGAAAACCAAAUUCAUCACAACAGCCAACACUCAUCUUGAAAGGUGAAUAUUUCUAAGAAAAGACUUGUGCAGCUCUAUACUUGGUUACCUUUUAAACUCAUGAGUAGUUUUUCUUUCAUAAACCAAACACACUAAGCACAACAUUUGGAAUUCACUUUGACCAUGUCUCCAAAGAGUAGUCUUUCUUAAAAGUUGAAGUUGUUGGGUUUUUGUUUGUUACUUUGUUUUAUUCUCAUUUGUUUGUUUGCCUAUACGUUUUCUAGAGAGAAAGAAAGGACAUGGAAUUGGACAGAUGGGGAGGUAGGGAGGGAUCUUGGAGGAGUUGGAGAAUGGGAAACAGUGUCCAUAAUCUAUUAUGUGAUUAAAAGUUAUUAUUAUGUAUAUAAUAAGCACACAUACAUGCACAUUCAUAUACCCCUACUCAAAGGAAAAAAAAGAACGAGGUAGGUGAGUUUGAUUACUGUAAAAGAAUUGUUCAUUUCUAACAUCCGGGCUCUUUGUUGUUAGCCAGAACUAUAUUCGAGGGAUGAAUGUACUUUUAUCUUCUUUUGUACAUGAAUCUGUUGACUGAACAAGAAUUACUUGUGUAUAGUUCUCUUAGUUGCCUAGAACUUUCUAAUUUGUCUUGAUCCAAAUAAGCUGGGAUGGGAAAAGUACAGAUCUUGGCCAUUUUUACAUGGAAGGACCUGGAGUCUCUCUCCAUGAAUUUUUAGGGGAUUUGUUAACACUUCGUGUAGAAGUGAGGUAUUUUUGAAUAAUAUUUUAAAUUAAUGAUACAAAUGUAUAACUUAGUAUAGAGAGAACUUGCAUUCUUUGCCACAUUGACUGUGAGCCUAGAGAGCUGGCAGGAAGAUGCUAUGAGGCUUUAGGAAGCUGCCCUGGAUCGUGCAGCUACACUGAGUCAGAGCCUUCAGGCUUCCCUUCACGACCUCCACACCCUCACAUUUCAGUGUUGUCCAUGUCUCUGUGUGGCUGCCCCAGCACAUGAUUUGUGAGAUGGUCCUCAGCUGCAUCUAACAGAUGGAUCUUCAUCUUGCUGCUUGCUUCCCAGUUCUGGGAUAUACUAAGAAUAACUUCAUAUGUAUGCCAUAGGUUCUAAGAUUUAGGAAAUGUUUUUAUUUUUUAGCGGGUAUUAACCUAUUAAUACUAUAAAUAUUAAUAAGGACAGUAUGAAAAUAAUUUUAUUCAUCAGUUAUUUUUAAAUUGUAUGUAUAUAUGUAUGUAUGUAUACCUUAUGUAUGUAGUGCCCAUGGAGGCUAGGAGAGGCUAUCAAAUCCCCUAGAACUAGCUAUAGGCAACUGGAUGUGAGCUGUCUGAAAAGGAUUCUAGGAACAAAAUUCUGAUCCUCUGGGACAGCAGUAAGCACUGUUAACACCUGAACCAUCUCUCUAAUCCCUCAUAUAUCUUUUUGGAUUUUGUUCACUAUUCGGCCAGUGAAUAUUUUGAUAAGUAUAAAGAUGAUCAGAGAAAACAUCCUGUGAUUUCCUUCACAGUAGAGCAGAAAAUAAUGUUUUAUAGAUUUUGCUAGGUUGUUCUGUUCUUAAAAAUCUCUUAUAGCUAGGGCAUUUAUUUAAAUGUUCCUGGAAGCUGAUGGACCAAAAUUAGAGAUUAAAAUGUACCCGUUAAGGAAAUGGUCUGUGGCCAGGCUACGCGUCUUUAAACUCUUGCCCAAAUGAAAACUUUUGACUUUGGAGACUUUCCCUUUCUCUCCUUCAUACAGCUGCUGUGUAGAAUGGGGGUAAUAAUGACAUUGCUGCUGCACACAGGUGUGGGGAUUUAGUGAAUUUAUACUCCCUGCUUAAAGCUGUGCUGUAUGUCAGCAGUGACCACUGUGGUGGAGUUUAUCAUUUUGAUAGUCUUCUGCAUUUCUGUUGUGAGAAGUCCAUAUGGUAAAUGACAGACAAUGUCAAAGUGCCAUUCUUAAAUUGUCAAGAACAUAACUUGUGGAACAGAAGGCAGCAUUACAUCUUUCAGGAAGAAAUCAUCAGAACCCAAAAUGGAUUCCUAAGAAGAAACAAGACCCUUGGUAGAUUUUGAUUAGAGGAAAUACAGGCUAGUGAUGCCUCACUUAGAUGUCUCAUAUAAAGAUACUUAAAAUAGAUGUGUGGGAGCUGAGUAAGGGGACACAGCAGUAAUCUUAGCACUUGUAAAACGGAGAAAGGAGGAUUAUCCUAGGUUUAAGCCAACUUGGACUACACAGCAGCAAGACUUGGUUUUAAUUGCUCAAAGAUGAAAAUAUACAAAUUACAGCAACAGAAACCAAAUCAAACAGAUUCUCAAAGCCCCACAAACACAACAAAACACAACAACAACCAGACAUUCACAAUGCCCACCAGUCAGAAAGUAAAUAAAAUCUUUUCACCUUUUAGAAACAUCCAACUUUACAAGAUUUCUCACUACCAGAGGUAGAGCCCUAAAUCCAGCUUAUUAGACAUUGACACAAUUCUGUAGUAUUUCCAGGUACAGAAUAAGUCUUUUUAAAAUAAUGAAACUAACAAACC